rnacentral:rRNA from 1 species
UCCCUAGUUCGGAUUGUAGGCUGAAACUCGCCUACCAUGAAGCUGGAAUUGCUAGUAAUCACAGGUCAGCAUACUGUGGUGAAUACGUUCCCGGGCCUUGUACACACCGCCCGUCACACCAUGAGAGUUGAGAAUACCCGAAGCCCAUGUCAAAGUGGUCGAAGGUAGGCUUGAUGAUUGGGGUGAAGUCGUAACAAGGUAAC